GAUUAUGAUCCAAGUUUAGUGAAUACUCAUAAGAGAAUCAGUUUACAUUUGAAGCUACAUAUCAAGAAAGAAUACCUUGAAAUAAACACAGGUUCCCGGGAAGACAUGUCGAGUACUUCUCCAGCAUUUUACAGUAAUGAUGGGCGUAACAUACAUCUACAUGUAGGUGAUAACAUAAGACAAGCGGUAUUUGGUGAGGGCCCUGGUUCUAGUAGAACAGAUAUGGAAGGAGCAGUAGAAGUAUUUGGUGAGGGUCCUGGUUCUAGUAGAACAGAUAUGGAAGGAGCAGUAGAAGUAUUUGGUGAGGGUCCUGGAUCUAGUAGAACAGAUAUGGAAGGAGCAGUAGAAGUAUUUGGUGAGGGCCCUGGUUCUAGUAGAACAGAUAUGGAAGGAGCAGUAGAAGUAUUUGGUGAGCGUCCUGGUUCUAAUAGAACAGAUAUGAAAGGAGCAGUAGAAGUAUUUGGUGAGGGCCCUGGUUCUAGUAGAACAGAUAUGGAAGGAGCAGUAGAAGUAUUUGGUGAGCGUCCUGGUUCUAAUAGAACAGAUAUGGAAGGAGCAGUAGAAGUAUUUGGUGAUGGUCCUGAUUCUAAUAGAACAGACAUGGACGGAGUAGUAGAAAGAAUUGAGGUGAUUAAUCCUGAACCUUCAGAUCUUAGUGGCUUAACGGAAGUUGUGGAAGAGUUACGUCCCCGUUUUAAUGAUACAUCGUGUUCUCUGCUAGCCCCGGUUGGUUUCGGUGUACUUUGGUUAUACAAUAGAUGUAUAUAGCAACCGGAAUAAUAGAUCCAAUCGUUUACUGGUUUAAUAAGAUUUCAAAUCGUAAAACAAAUUUCGACUAUUUAUGUA